rnacentral:rRNA from 1 species
UACCAGCUCUCCGAGUGGUGUGGAUGUUUAUUGGGCCUAAAGCAUCCGUAGCUGGCUGGGCAAGUCCCCUGUUAAAUCCACCGAUUCAAGUCGUUGGUGUGCGGGGGAUACUGUUCGGCUAGGGGACGGGAGAGGCCGACGGUAUUCUCGGGGUAGGGGUGAAAUCCUAUAAUCCCGGGAAGACCACCAGUGGCGAAGGCUGUCGGCUAGAACGCGCCCAACGGUGAGGGAUGAAAGCUGGGGGAGCGAACCGGAUUAGAUACCCGGGUAGUCCCAGCUGUAAACGAUGCAGGCUAGGUGUUUGGGCGGCCACGUGCCGCUCUAGUGCCGCAAAGAAGUUGUUAAGCCUGCCGCCUGGGGAGUACGACCGCAAGGCUGAAACUUAAAGGAAUUGGCGGGGGAGCACCACAAGGGGUGAAGCUUGCGGUUU